UAAGGAAUAUUGGACAAUGGACGCAAGUCUGAUCCAGCCAUGCCGCGUGAAGGAUGAAUGCCCUCUGGGUUGUAAACUUCUUUUAUAGGGGAAGAAAGAUACUUCCUUUAAGGUAGUUGACGGUACCCUAUGAAUAAGCACCGGCUAACUCCGUGCCAGCAGCCGCGGUAAUACGGAGGGUGCAAGCGUUAUCCGGAUUUACUGGGUUUAAAGGGUGCGUAGGCGGGCAUGUAAGUCAGUGGUGAAAUACCGGAGCUCAACUUCGGAACUGCCAUUGAUACUAUAUGUCUUGAAUAUUGUGGAGGUAAGCGGAAUAUGUCAUGUAGCGGUGAAAUGCAUAGAUAUGACAUAGAACACCGAUUGCGGAGGCAGCUUGCUACGCAAAUAUUGACGCUGAGGCACGAAAGCGUGGGGACCAAACA
rnacentral:rRNA from 1 species